rnacentral:rRNA from 1 species
AUUGAACGCUGGCGGAAUGCUUUACACAUGCAAGUCGAACGGCAGCACGGGGGCAACCCUGGUGGCGAGUGGCGAACGGGUGAGUAAUACAUCGGAACGUGCCCAGUCGUGGGGGAUAACUACGCGAAAGCGUAGCUAAUACCGCAUACGAUCUACGGAUGAAAGCGGGGGAUCGCAAGACCUCGCGCGAUUGGAGCGGCCGAUGGCAGAUUAGGUAGUUGGUGGGGUAAAGGCUCACCAAGCCUGCGAUCUGUAGCUGGUCUGAGAGGACGACCAGCCACACUGGGACUGAGACACGGCCCAGACUCCUACGGGAGGCAGCAGUGGGGAAUUUUGGACAAUGGGCGCAAGCCUGAUCCAGCCAUUCCGCGUGCAGGAUGAAGGCCCUCGGGUUGUAAACUGCUUUUGUACGGAACGAAACGGUGCUUUCUAAUACAGAGCGCUAAUGACGGUACCGUAAGAAUAAGCACCGGCUAACUACGUGCCAGCCGCCGCGGUAAGAC